GUCUCUUCGGAGACAUUCAAUAAAAUUGGAAUGAUAUAGAGAAAAUUAACAUGGCUCCCGUGCAAGAAGGACAUGCAUAAAUCAAAAAAUGGUACGCACAUAA